GUUCAUGUCCGGAAUGCGAUUGCCGAAGGAGGUUUCUCUUGUGUUUAUCUUGCACGUGAUGUGGGUCCUUCAUCGAAGCAGUAUGCUUUGAAGCACAUGAUAUGUAACGAUGAGGAAUCAUUGGAUCUGGUGAAGAAGGAGGUUUCACUGAUGAAGUUGCUUAAAGGGCAUCCCAAUUUUGUUGGAGCUGAAGAAAUGUAGGGUGGAAAAUAUCAGCUACCUUUUUUUGAUACUUGUAGCCCUUUUUUGGACACAUUCACCCCUUCUGUAAAUAAUCUAAUCCAAGAAGUAGGAAGUCACAAAAGGAGAAAAGGGUGUGUAUAAACAAACAUAGGGUGGAAAAUAUCAGCUACCUUCUUUCUUCUAUCCUAUGUUAGGACGGUUGUUGAAUUUUCACUUUCUUUCUUUCUUUCAUUUGUUUUUGAUGGUUGUUUUCUUUCUCAUUGCAGUUUCAUCACUGUUUUGCUUGAUACAGGCCUUCAGGUGAAGAAGAGACUGCAUUAAGGAUUUCGGGCCUCGAUUAUUUCCUUUAGUUUGUUUCUUGUGAUUUUUUGAGGAUGGGGGAUCAUUUCGUGUUGUUGGUUGAUCAGUUGCUCACUGAAUCCACACUGGAAGCUGCAAUCCAGAGCAGAAAACAGGGUCAAAAUGGGCAUGCUUCAGCAUCAGAGGUAGAAACCGAGAACGAGCUCUCUUUGCAGAAGAGGGAUUUUGGCGAUGGGCUGUGGAAAAUGGUGGAGUGUCGAAUCACUGAAGACAGAGAGGGAGAAGAAGAGAGAAAUGUACUUCCCGAAGAGGAAGCAUGCUAUUAAGUCUGAGAUUGCAAGAUCACUGUUGUAGAGACUGAGCAGAUCAAGCAUAUGACAUGGGAAAAGGAAAGGAUUUAUGAAGAUAUGAAAAAAGAAGAAGACUUAUUAAUCAUUGCGAAAAGCAGUUUUGACUAUAAAAAACAGGAGUUUAUUAAGUUUCUUGGCAAGAUUUCAUCGUACAUGACUCAGAACUAAGCACGUGCUGCAUGAGAUGGAAAAGUCCCAAACUGAGUUGUGGGUGAGAUUGGUUUCUUACAAAUCCGAUGUUAAUUCGGGCGAGCUUCAAACACUAUCCAUUAGUUCUACUACAAUUUGAUAUUCAUAUGGAAAUGGCUCUAUCCACUUCUUCAGUUACUGGUAAGUUGAAUUAGGGAAUGUUUGUAAUCUUUUGUGCAUAGUAGUGGAAGAAGAAUGGGUUGGACCUAAUGGAUGGUCCAAGUAAGUGACAUGCUCAUGAGGACAAAUGUUACUGCGUAUGGGAAGGUUUCUAUACACUUCGCCCACUAAAUCAUUUCUCUUUAGGAAAUUAUGAAAGAGGAAUGUGGCAUGUAAAGACCAAGGUAUUAAAAAGUAGUUAUGUAAUGGCCACUACGUUGUUACAUAACAACCCUUUCUUUUAGACGGUUGCUCUGCUCUUUUUAUUAAACUUUUUUGGUUUUUACUUGAAAUGCAAGCUGCUUUUAUUCUUGUAUGAAUGAUUUAUUUGGAUGCACACAGUUGUACUAUCUUGCUGUACGUUGUUAAUCCAAAAUCUUAAAUCUUUCUAUUUGUAGUACAUUGCAGAUAACAAUCUUGAGAACAACCCAUGGCAUGGAUUUGAUGAGUGGUCACUCAAGAUAAAAACUAAUGCGCCUGAAUGAAGUUUUGAAAAUGUUGUUGGUUUUUCUUCUUCAGUUUUUCUUGAAAGUUAUAUUGGUUGCUUUCAAAAGAUAAGCAACAAGGCCCUCAGUAUUCAAAUAAAAUCGUAGUUGUUGCAUGGUUUCUUUCACAAGUUCUGGUAUAUUGCCUCAAGAAGUUGCAACUCCCACACCUGCGUGAAGCCUUUCCCAUCCACAUGCAGGCACACAUGCCAAUGUGGCACACAUGUACUGGAUAUGAGAUUUCCAUU